rnacentral:tRNA from 1 species
GGAGGAGUCGCCUAGUGGCCUAUGGCACAUGCCUGGAAAGCAUGGACCCGCAAGGGUCUCGUGGGUUCGAAUCCCACCUCCUCCG